GAUGAACGCUGGCGGCGUGCCUAAUACAUGCAAGUCGAGCGAACAGACGAGGAGCUUGCUCCUUUGACGUUAGCGGCGGACGGGUGAGUAACACGUGGGUAACCUACCUAUAAGACUGGGAUAACUUCGGGAAACCGGAGCUAAUACCGGAUAAUAUUUCGAACCGCAUGGUUCGAUAGUGAAAGAUGGCUCUGCUAUCACUUAUAGAUGGACCUGCGCCGUAUUAGCUAGUUGGUAAGGUAACGGCUUACCAAGGCAACGAUACGUAGCCGACCUGAGAGAGUGAUCGGCCACACUGGAACUGAGACACGGUCCAGACUCCUACGGGAGGCAGCAGUAGGGAAUCUUCCGCAAUGGGCGAAAGCCUGACGGAGCAACGCCGCGUGAGUGAUGAAGGUCUUCGGAUCGUAAAACUCUGUUAUUAGGGAAGAACAAACGUGUAAGUAACUGUGCACGUCUUGACGGUACCUAAUCAGAAAGCCACGGCUAACUACGUG
rnacentral:rRNA from 1 species